AACGAACGCUGGCGGCAGGCUUAACACAUGCAAGUCGAGCGCCCCGCAAGGGGAGCGGCAGACGGGUGAGUAACGCGUGGGAAUCUACCCAUCUCUACGGAAUAACGCAUGGAAACGUGUGCUAAUACCGUAUACGUCCUUCGGGAGAAAGAUUUAUCGGAGAUGGAUGAGCCCGCGUUGGAUUAGCUAGUUGGUGGGGUAAAGGCCUACCAAGGCGACGAUCCAUAGCUGGUCUGAGAGGAUGAUCAGCCACACUGGGACUGAGACACGGCCCAGACUCCUACGGGAGGCAGCAGCGGGGAAUAUUGGACAAUGGGCGCAAGCCUGAUCCAGCCAUGCCGCGUGAGUGAUGAAGGCCCUAGGGUUGUAAAGCUCUUUCACCGGUGAAGAUAAUGGCGGUAACCGGAGAAGAAGCCCCGGCUAACUUCGUGCCAGCCGCCGCGGUAAGAC
rnacentral:rRNA from 1 species